UACGUAGGGCGCAAGCGUUGUCCGGAAUUAUUGGGCGUAAAGAGCUCGUAGGCGGUUUGUCGCGUCUGCUGUGAAAACUCGAGGCUCAACCUCGGGCUUGCAGUGGGUACGGGCAGACUAGAGUGCGGUAGGGGAGACUGGAAUUCCUGGUGUAGCGGUGGAAUGCGCAGAUAUCAGGAGGAACACCGAUGGCGAAGGCAGGUCUCUGGGCCGCAACUG
rnacentral:rRNA from 1 species